GGGGGGGGUGUUUCCGGCCCGCAUGUAUUUGCAUACAUUAUAGAGGCCACUAGUGCUGACCAAGCUGCCAUCUUUCUCUCUUCCCAUCUUUCAAUGGCUGCUUCAAUUUCAGCUUGAACCUCCAAACCGCAAGUUAGCACCUCAUACCACAGUGCAGCAAAGCAGUCUCAUGAGCGCUGGGAAGGACGAGCCCAGAGCCCAAAACAGACAGUGCAGGAGAUGACAAGCUGUCCUGUGCCAGAAGUUCUGUUGACCCACAGUGAGAGGCAUCAUUUCAGAAACACCAGGAAGACUGAAACUCGUCACCAGGAUCAAGCAGGGCUCGUGAUCUUCACCAGCAGCUCCCUCACAAGAAGGAUAAACCCAG
ensembl:lncRNA